GAUGAAGAACGUAGUGAAAUGCGAUAAGUAAUGUGAAUUGCAGAAUUCAGUGAAUCAUCGAAUCUUUGAACGCACAUUGCGCCCCUUGGUAUUCUGAGGGGCAUGCCUGUUCGAGCGUCAUUAUAACCCCUCAAGCUCAGCUUGGUGUUGGGGCCUGCUGCACUGGCAGCCCUUAAAAUCAGUGGCGGCGCCAUCUGGCUCUAAGCGUAGUAAUUCUUCUCGCUAUGGAGUCCUGGUGGAUGCUUGCCAUCAACCCCCAAUUUUUCUAUGGUUGACCUCGGAUCAGGUAGGGAUACCCGCUGAACUUAAGCAUAUCAAUAAGCGGAGGA
rnacentral:misc_RNA from 1 species